AGAGUUUGAUCAUGGCUCAGGACGAACGCUGGCGGCACGCUUAACACAUGCAAGUCGAACGUGAAACUCGGAGCUUGCUCCGGGUGGAAAGUGGCGAACGGGUGAGUAACACGUGAGGAACCUGCCCCGAAGACUGGGAUAACGCCGGGAAACCGACGCUAAUACUGGAUGCCUUCUCCGGAUCGCAUGAUCUGGCGAAGAAAUGGAUUCCGCUUCGGGAUGGCCUCGCGGCCUAUCAGCUUGUUGGUGGGGUAACGGCCUACCAAGGCAACGACGGGUAGCUGGUCUGAGAGGAUGUCCAGCCACACUGGGACUGAGACACGGCCCAGACUCCUACGGGAGGCAGCAGUGGGGAAUCUUGCGCAAUGGGCGAAAGCCUGACGCAGCGAUGCCGCGUGCGGGAUGAAGGCCUUCGGGUUGUAAACCGCUUUCAGCAGGGACGAAAUUGACGGUACCUGCAGAAGAAGCCCCGGCCAACUACGUGCCAGCAGCCGCGGUAAUACGUAGGGGGCGAGCGUUGUCCGGAUUUAUUGGGCGUAAAGAGCUCGUAGGCGGUUCGAUAAGUCGGAUGUGAAAUCUCCACGCUCAACGUGGAGGGGCCAUUCGAUACUGUCGUGACUCGAGUCCGGUAGGGGAGUGUGGAAUUCCCGGUGUAGCGGUGAAAUGCGCAGAGAUCGGGAGGAACACCCGUAGCGAAGGCGGCACUCUGGGCCGGUACUGACGCUGAGGAGCGAAAGCGUGGGGAGCAAACAGGAUUAGAUACCCUAGUAGUCC
rnacentral:rRNA from 1 species